AGGAGUUUAGCUGAGUGGUUUAGCAACAAUUUUACACAUUGUAGACAGGGGUUCGAAUCCCUUACCUCUUA